rnacentral:misc_RNA from 1 species
GGUGAACCUGCCGAUUGAUCAUUACGCGUUAUUUUAUAAACUUUACACAACACUGCGUCUAUUACGCCGUUGUAAUAUUUUUAUAGUUAUAACACACACUGCUCUGUGUGACUGUCCUGUACGCAUAUUCACGUAUGUGUCGGUACUGAAUACAGGCGACCAACCUUAAAACAAGUAUGCCUGCAGACUUUAGAUCUCAGGCGAACAAACCCCCUUUUAUCUAGAUCAAAUAAUUCAAUUCAGCUCUACGGAGUCUAACACAAUCAAAUUUUUUGAUAUAAAUAUUUUUUUUUUCUCUCUGCCGCAUGUUUUAUUACGCGCAGCGGAUUAGAAAUAAAUUUAUUUUUACAUAGAUUAUUAUGUAGACAACACACACACAUUAUACACUGCAUGAGCGAUGGAUCUCUUGGUUCCUUGCAUCGUUGAAGGUCGCAGCGAAUUGCGAAAUGUUGGUCGUGUGAAUUGCAAGACACAUUGGCCCUUUUCGGGCUGCGGAACACCUUACUCACUGAACGUUUAUAUCGCUUAGCAGAUUAAUCUUCGUGUUCGCACGUAGACUGCAGCGCGCUCGGUUGAGAGUGCUUUAUAUGUUUACAUGCAUUUACUUGCAUCUUACACAUAUUUUUUUCUUUGCUGCGUCUUUUUUUAUGCGUCUCACAACGCAUUUUGGCCGCAGCAUAGAAACCUUUCUAAAUUUUCUCCUGUAAACAGUGUUACGCUUUAUACACACACACAAAGCUAGUACUGCGGAAGGUAUUUCUUAAUUGCUAAUAUUUUCCAUCGCGUCAAAAAUUUAUAUUUUUUACCGUGUGCAAGUAUGAUUUACAUACAGAAGUAUACAUCACACCGUCUGUUUACCAUUAGUUUGAUAAAUUUGUGUGCCUGAUACCGUACUUUUUUGUAUGCCGAAUUGGCGACUUCGCACAAUUAAUUUAGCGGUAAGUAAUUUUGAUGCUCCCAUUCCUAAGGCACAUCAGCUCGAGUGAG